CCAAGGGAAGGCACGUUAGCUUUUGAGGGGGAAACGUCAGUCGUUGUUGCUCCACACUAUCCCCUGCAAAGGCAGUCAGAAUGAGCGCUGCUGCAGCGGAUGCGCUCUCCCCGUCCGGACGACAAACAAUGGUUUGCCAAAAGAGGAAAACGUCCCUGCCUUGGAUACCAAGGGCAUCACAGUCGGGCGGGAGAAUGGAGGACAAGGCUUAUACGGCUGCCUGGACAGCAGACUUGGAAGUAGCUCUUUUGUCACUUUUCAGCAGCAAGCACCAUGCUGGGUGCCAUGCCAUCCUUUGGAGUGGAGACCCGUGACACAUGAGUCGCUCUUUGGCUUUGCCUCUGGUUGAAAACUGGCACAGCAGCACCUUUGCCCUUACAGGCAAAGAAGGCAAUGCAGAAAGGCUCUGGGCUAAGGCUUGGACAAGCAAAGUGCAGAAGAGAAAAGAAAAAGAAAACAGGCACAGAGAGUUCAACACCGGUAGAUAAGAGUAAAGAACAGACUACAGUAGGGGCAGGGACGCUGGCAGACAGCUCAGUCCACAUGUUCUUUCUUCUCUGGAGCAUAAGGGCAACACAGAAAGGAAGCUCUGAACAGGGAAUCCCUCGCUUAGCGGCGCUUUCGAAGGAUGAGCCUUGUGCAAGCCAUCCCUAGCACGAGCAGGACCCCUUACCUCCCGACACACUGUUGCUAUGUGUCCUACAGCCAUCCUUCUCACGCUGACCACAUCACCUAAGGAGCCUCCAUCCAUAUACUCCAAGACCAGCAGGACAGCCUCAUUGACAAGGUUUCUGAGAUCAGACUUCAAGCUCUUUAUGCCAGGAACCCCUCAUGGCAACAAAAUGCAUUCUCCUCCCAUGCCUGGUGAAGGGGUGGAUUGAUGUUCAUCGAAAGAUUCUUUUUCUGCCAGUGGCUAAAGAGCUUUUAAAUCUUGGCCUUGCAAGUAUGGAAACAAACAUUCCCAGAAAAUUACCAGAACUACUUACCUUUCUAGGUCUUGCAUUGUAUUUUGCAUCAGAACCACAUGAUGGAAAACAAAAUAUCUGUGUCUGAACCUGAGCUUAAGAGGAACCGGUGUGGAAUGACGGCUUUUGCCAUCAGCUGCUCUAUGCAUAUUUAUCUGGCAAAUGGAAGCUAGCAUGUCCUUCUCUGAAAGACACCGCUGCCAUCGUCGCAUUCAUUCAUUCAGGAUCUCCCACACUCACCACACGCCCUGAAAGAAACAAAAUGCAAGAAGCACACUUGAAAACAGAGAUGCUGACUUCCAGGAGAUCUGAAACCCAGCUCCACUCUCUGGGGCUCUGAGCACUUUAUGGUCACUCGCUCAACAAUAACAUCAACAAGAACAACAAGAAGAGCAGCCCCAGCAAGACAGGCAGCUCUGCAGCACAGCUGGCCUGCACAGAGUCUGAUUCUCCCACACUGCUUUGAAGGAUUGUCUUGAGGGGAAACUAAGCCCACGGAAAAACCAUCUGAGCAGACAGAGAACAGAAGAGAACAGGCACCAAGGCAAGUGGUUGUCACCUACAAACAACAAGGAGGGCUGAAGAAUUGGGAGCCUUCACUUUCUUGGCAAGAAAGACUCUCUUGUGAGAUUGAACCAAAGGUUUCAUACUUCCAAAGAUUCCAUGCACUCUGGAAUCUGGGAUGAAUUCUUAUCAACAUCUGCUUUUUUGCAGAGCAGAAAGGAUAUUGCAAAUGAAUUCCAGGAGAGGAGGGGAUUUUCUCUUCCUCUCAGCAGCUUGCCUAAAGAAUGCUUUGACAUUUUUAGAGAACAGCAGCUCAUGCUACAUCCAAGAACAAUGGCUGUAAGAAUUAGAACCCUUUUCAUUCAGGAGCAGGCUCAGUUCUGAAGACCACUUUGCCUGUCCCACAUUUAGUGAAGAACGACAAGUGCUGGUCUUCAGUGUGGGCUGCAGCAGUCACUGGCACUGGACUUGGCCCCUUGAACAGCACCCACGUGCCCCAUCUUCCCAAAGGGCACAGCCCAGACGGGUAACAAGGACAGUGCCGCUGCUCAGGCGCUGCCGUGACACAGACACGUGCACAAAUGAGAUGCCGAUCCUCUCACCAGUCCAGGUGGCAGCUGCAACCUCACAGCUGAGGAAGGCUCCAGCCCCUGCAGUCACAGCAGCCAUCAGUGGCAGGGCAGCUAUGACAAAAAGCUUGGCAAAGCCCAUCAAUGGCCACUGACAAGCACUAUGGGGGAGCCAGAGGCAGACCCAGCUCCGUUCUGAGUUGACCCUACUCAAGACAGAACAUGAUUGUUUUUGUGCUCAGACCCACAGAGGAGUCGAUCAAUCCACCUUUUGUCCCAGCAGCUGAUGGCAGACACUGAGUAAACUGGGCUCGGUUCUCUACCUGACGGGUAUUCUCUGACAGCACUGCACUGGCAGCUGUUACUAGCUGUAAGAAGCAACUCAGUUGUACUGCAGAGUCACUAAGGCCUUGGUGUACUUUCCUAGAGUGCAGGAAUCUGUGCAGGGAUGGAGGCCAAUGCUCCGUAUUCCAAGAAUAUUUCCCAGCUGAGCAUUAGCAGUGACAAAGUGCCUGGCAGCGGAGGAACAUGCAGCAGAGGGGCUGCCGGCUUCCUCCUGAGAAUUGCCAGCAGGGCACUUUUAUCUGACCAUGCCACAUAGAUGUGUCUUUUUGAUGCAUCUUCCUAAGCAUACCACUAAAAUUCCCAACAGGGAUUGUAAAAAUCUUGUGCUGGAUUUCUUCUUGUGGGGACAUUGAAAGCAAUUCUUCAUCUCUGACAGCUUGGGAUUGUUCCAAGAAUGUAACUUUUUAAUUUAUGGGGCAAACUGAAGAGACCUCUUCCAAUCUUCUUUGUGCUGUCACCUGAUGUUCUCUUCAAGGGGGUCAGGCUAAUGUAGAAAUCUUAUCAAACCCAAACUGUGGAAGGAAUAGUAGAAGUACUAACACUCAUAAAAAAGCCCACUAGCAUUCAACUAGCCCCACAGCCCAUCAAUUUCUCGGAAGUAUUUUGUCUCCAAUGCCUGGCCACAAGUCUGGAGUCUAAAGGGAAUCUAGGAAGCCAAGUGUUCCCAUCACUUUGGCCAGACUAGCACACACACCUUCAACGGGGUCACUGGCUGAGUUACAGCCUUCUGCUGCUGGGGACACAAUCCCUGCUCUUGUCUUUACGGCACAGGGAAGCUCAGGCAAAACCCACCCACUCUCAGCUGCCCUCAAAGGCAAAAGGAACUCCCCAAGUGCUCCCUGGCUGCCUCCAAGCACAACACUGGCUUCUCUAGGGAAUCCAAAAUGUCUGUCCAAACACCAAAGGGAGGAGGAACAUGUGCUCCAGCUCAUGCUGAGGCACACACACAGUAACACACUGCUCGAUUGCACAAGAAAUCCACGGGACGUACUCAGCAGCUUCAGGAGCUGCUUCUCUCUCUCCUGGCUUGAGCCGCGUGAACUGCUCAUGCUCCGGUUUCCAGGCUGCAGACAGGAGGCCUCUUGGCAGGAUGCUGCUGCUGCGGCACCUUUGAUGGGUGAUCCUGCGUCCAUCUGGGACAAGAAAUUUGUUUGUGUCAGAAAGGUGCCUGGCAGGGAUGCCCCAGAUACAGCAUUUCAAAGGCAAGCCCAUAGCAACAACACUGGUGUUAGGCUGCAAGCUGAGCUGUCAACUCUUCCUCCUUCAAUCAAACCCAAACAAGCAGUCAGAGACUACAGCUUGUCACAGGCAGCCGUAGUAGAGACCGUGAAAGGGAAAGGCCAAGGUUACACUUCACCCUCUUCUGAGGACUGCAUUCAGCAUGGACAGGGACAACUUGUUCAGAAUCUGUGUGGCUCACCAUGCUCACCUGAACAAACGCCGCAAAAAACAAAGGGAGCACUAAGAGGCCAGCAGAAAUACAUUCAGAGGAUUGCUGGCCCACCAAGCAAAGCACUAGCCCUGCUACCCAGGGCAGCAGCUGACAUUCAGGGGCCCAGGAAUUGUUCUACCAUCACACCCAGUGUUUUCUCUCUUCCCGUCUCAAAAGCACUUCUAUUCAGCCACUUCUUGCUGCUUCUGUACCCAGCUCUAACCCUUCCAUUAUAGCUCUUCUUCCUGCUGCUCAGAGCUAGAGCCUGCCAGGCUCUGUGCUUCCAGUGCCUGCAGUAGUCC